rnacentral:pre_miRNA from 1 species
AGGCAGUGUAGUUAGCUGAUUGCCACCAGGACCAAUCACUAACCACACAGCCAGG